CUACGUGCCAGCAGCCGCGGUAAUACGUAUGUCACAAGCGUUAUCCGGAUUUAUUGGGCGUAAAGCGCGUCUAGGUGGUUAUGUAAGUCUGAUGUGAAAAUGCAGGGCUCAACUCUGUAUUGCGUUGGAAACUGCAUAACUAGAGUACUGGAGAGGUAAGCGGAACUACAAGUGUAGAGGUGAAAUUCGUAGAUAUUUGUAGGAAUGCCGAUGGGGAAGCCAGCUUACUGGACAGAUACUGACGCUAAAGCGCGAAAGCGUGGGUAGCAAACAGGAUUAGAUACCCUGGUAGUCCACGCCGUAAACGAUGAUUACUAGGUGUUGGGGGUCGAACCUCAGCGCCCAAGCAAACGCGAUAAGUAAUCCGCCUGGGGAGUACGUACGCAAGUAUGAAACUCAAAGGAAUUGACGGGGGCCCGCACAAGCGGUGGAGCAUGUGGUUUAAUUCGAAGCAACGCGAAGAACCUUACCAGGUCUUGACAUCCCUCUGACCGCUCUAGAGAUAGAGUUUUCUUCGGGACA
rnacentral:rRNA from 1 species